CGGCUCCGUCUUUUGUGUCACGCAGAGCUGGAUGCUGGUGGGGUUACCCUUUAACCCACACAUCACGCCAAGACCAUCAGGUAUCUCAACCAUCUGAGCCAAACCAGAACGGAGACGUCCAUGCAGGGGGAGUAUCAACCUUUUCCUCAGAUGGCUUUGUCAAAACAUGUAGAAGUACUACUGUUAUAAGUAUUACACUCAACGUUUAAGAAAUAGAACGUUAAGAAAGGCAUACAAAAAUAACAUGCCAAGACUUGUGACCCAAAUAACACACAUGAUUAAACUCUGAUCCCAAGUAAAGCAGUAUCAGGAAUGAAGCAUAAAACUGACAAUGACAGAGUGUGUGGUUUGUCUAAAUCCAAGCAAACCAUGAAUUCCCUGCAAACCAUGCAAACCUUAAAUACAAGUGUGGUUAACUGAUAAAAAAAGACGCUAAACUUUUAUGUUUCACUUGAUGUGGAUGGUACAAACAUGCUCCCACACAGUAGAAAUCAAUGCAUCAGCCAGUGCUGCAGUUUUAGCUACUUUCUAACAUUACCUUUAACGCCUGGUUGUUCUGAUUAAAUCACCAGAGGAAGGAACGCCCUGAAGAGACCUAAAGAGAUUCUGAUGGUGCUAUCUGCCUGGUGGAGCCCCCUCACGCCACAACAGACCUUGUAAUUGAUGAAGAGUGCGAGGAGACUUUGUCUGCUGCCUUCACAGAGGGGGAACCAGAAAGGCCUGUAGAGGGCAUGGCUGGGCAGCAGCAGGAGGGUCCCUCAACUUCAACUGCACAGAUUGACACAGUGAGAUGGAUGUUCAGUAAACACCAGAGGUUCAUUCUGUGGAAUUCAUGUGCAACUGUAUAAUUUAAUGUCCUCCUUAUGUAUUCCCAGUUACCAGUUAAAGAUAUCUACAAAAUAUUUCUUCUGAAAAAAAUUGAAAAAAACAACAAAGAAAUGCAGUUCUUGGACCGCCAGAUGAGAAGGGCAGAUCUCGAAAUUGAAUUACUAGAGCACAAGUUAGAGGUGGGUGCAUGGUCACAGGUGAAUUAUGUUAAUUAUGUUAACUACAGGAACAUUAACUAAACUAUCUCUUGUAUUUGUAGGAAAUAAAGAAGACCAAAUGAAA